rnacentral:rRNA from 1 species
UACGAAGGGGGCUAGCGUUGCUCGGAAUCACUGGGCGUAAAGGGUGCGUAGGCGGGUCUUUAAGUCAGGGGUGAAAUCCUGGAGCUCAACUCCAGAACUGCCUUUGAUACUGAAGAUCUUGAGUUCGGGAGAGGUGAGUGGAACUGCGAGUGUAGAGGUGAAAUUCGUAGAUAUUCGGAAGAACACCAGUGGCGAAGGCGACUCACUGGACAGGUAUUGACGCUGAGGUGCGACAGCGUGGGGAGCAAACAGG